GUAUUGGUACAAGCACAGGCAUAUAAAAUGUAACAGGAUCCACACAAGCUUCAUGCAGCCAAAGAGUAGCUCAGGAUCAUAGUACUGGUCUAGUGUUGUCUCUUGACACAUCCACCACUGGCCAGCCUCCAAAUUCCCACACAU
rnacentral:snoRNA from 1 species